GACGAACGCUGACGGCGUGCUUAACACAUGCAAGUCGAACGAUGAAGCUGGAGCUUGCUCUGGCGGAUUAGUGGCGAACGGGUGAGUAACACGUGAGAAAUCUGCCCUUGACUCUGGGAUAACUGCGGGAAACUGUAGCUAAUACCGGAUACUUUCCCUGGUGGGCAUCCACUGGGGAAGAAAGAAUCUCGGUCAAGGAUGAUCUCGCGGCCUAUCAGCUUGUUGGUGAGGUAAUGGCUCACCAAGGCGACGACGGGUAGCCGGCCUGAGAGGGUGACCGGCCACACUGGGACUGAGACACGGCCCAGACUCCUACGGGAGGCAGCAGUGGGGAAUAUUGCACAAUGGGCGCAAGCCUGAUGCAGCAACGCCGCGUGAGGGAUGAAGGCCUUCGGGUUGUAAACCUCUUUUAGCAGGGAAGAAGCGAAAGUGACGGUACCUGCAGAAAAAGCACCGGCUAACUACGUGCCAGCCGCCGCAGUAA
rnacentral:rRNA from 1 species